ensembl:lncRNA
GCGUUUCGCAUUUGCCCCUUGGCCCUGGUCUCUCGGUCUUGCUGCCUUCAGGCUUUAACUCCUCAUAGCUCCCUGUAGAUCAACCUCAUUCCUGCCUCUGGGGCUUUGUGAUGUCAGGUGUCCUCCUGGGAAUGCUCCUCUCCCCACACCCCACCAUGUAAGACCCCUCCCAGGACAUUGCUGCUGGCCUUCCUGGCACGUCCCAGCACUGCCCUGUGCUUCGUGUGGCUUGCUGGCUGCCCUGUGCCCAGGUGGCUUAGGACCUGGCCCCUGCAGGGCAGUGUUCUCUGUCCCACCUGGGUGGGGGCCAUGAAUGCCCCAUGCUCUGGGCUCAGCUGGAGAGCUCAGUGCAGACUGCUGACUCAUGAAGACAAGAAGGAAACAAGAUGAGAAAACCCAGAGAGGAGGCACAGAAGUCUGACACCUCCACGGGCUGCAGGAGUCUCAGAAUGCUGGAGCUGAAACAUCUGCUCAAGAUAUGGAAUGAAGGCCCCCAGGGAAGUGACCGAACAGGCUGAGAGCAGGGGACAGCACCGGCCUGUGCCCCGCUACUUUGAAGGCACGGAGGCAAUCCACCCGGACAAAGGACUGAACUCCAAGCAGACAGCCAGUGAAGGUGCCCGGCUUGCAGGGCAGCACCUGGAUGCUCCCUCCCGUCACUCCCCUCAAGUCUUCCUCUCCUUGAUGCUGCAGGGCAUUACCUGGGGCUGGCAGUCCUCAGCACCAUCACUCUCGUCGCUCUGCAGGCCCCUCUCGUCGGAGGACUCAUGUCGUGCCUGGCAGAUGCAGGAGCCGUCUGACUUCUGGAAGACCCUGUUCAGGCCCCAACAUGUGCAGUGGGAGGCACCUGGGGACAGAGAAGCCCUGUCGUCUGUCACAGGCACCUGGCAGUGAGCCAGAACCUGAGUGAACCCUCCGUCCCUGUCCACAGGGCGCCUGUGGUCCAGGGGGCAAGCAGACGCCCACUGUCCCCAAAGUUGGGGCUGAGACGGUCUUUGUGAGGAUUGGGUGGGAUCUUCUAAAUCAGUCAUUCUCAACCCUGACUUGCACUGCAUUCAUCUGAGAAGCUUUUAAAAAACAUUGCUGUUCAGAUGCCCUUCAGGCCAAUUAAGCAAAGAUCUCUGAGGUGAGGCCAGGGCAUCUCCUUUCUGACAGUCCCUUGAGCACUGCAAUGUGCGGCUGGGGCUGAGCACUGCUGACGCCGUGGAAAGCACUUGACGUCCUGUGGAAGGCGUUGUUCCUUCCACGAUCACGCAAAGCCACGUGGGGUCGGUCCCGAAGGACUGGCACAGGCCUCUGUCUCUGGACAAGAGGAGAGAUCCGCAGAGCCUGAAGGCCGCUCAAGAGGCCUGAAGGAUGGAUGGGAUUAGAAGGGCAGAGCUGGGAGCACAGGAAUUCUCAGCAGGGAAGGUGACAGCUACCCGUGGUGAGCCGUGGUCCGGAAGCAGACGAUCCUCCUCCUGACGUAUUGUCAGAAGGUCAGUAGCAGCCUAACUACAUCACAAUGCCUGUGUCGUUCGCCUCUCUUCACCUCCUCACGCAGGCACUGGAUCAUCUCACAUCAUCGCAAGAGGAAGAAGGAUGGUAAGAAGCCUAAUCAGAACACAAGCCUGAGGAGGAUGUUGGCUUAUUUCAGCAUUCGACCCACAGGUGAUCAAGGGGCUGAACUGUGUUAUGGACUGAAUUGUGUUACCCCCUAAAAGUUUGUGUUGAAGUCCUAACCCCCAGUAUCUUAGAAUGUGACUGUAUUUGGAGAUAGGUCCUUUAAAGAGGUGAUUAACUUAAAAUGAGGCCUUUAGGGUGGGCCCUAACUCAAUCUGACUGGUGUACCUAUAAGAAGAGAAAAAUUGGACACACGAAGAGACCCCAGCGAUGCUUGCACACAGUGGAAAGACCAUGUAAGGACACAGCAAGAGGACGGCCAUCUGUAAGCUAGGAGAGAGGUCUCAAAAGAAACCAAACCUGCUGACACCUUUAUCUUGGACUUCUAGCCUCCAGAACUGUGAGAAAAUAAAUCUCUAUUGGUUAAGGCACCUAGACUAUGGUAUUCUGUUAUGGCAGCCCAAGGGUUCUAUGUCACAGAGAAUGGCUGCAACAAUUUUAUCCUGAAAACAUUUUAAGUAGCUACCUAAAGGUCAUCUCACAAAAAUUAUACUUCUCAACCACUAAAGCAAUUGGCCAUACUAGGUUGUUAUGUACAAGUCAGUGACAUGUAAUUUAGAUGACACAACGAUUGGGACCCACUUCACCCAGGCUCUGAUCUCCAGGUAAUGGGGGUCACAGGAUUCAGGGGGUUGCUCACCUAAGAGAUAGAAUGCCUUAUCCAGAAGACAAGAAAGGAUGGCAGGAUCUCUGACAACCUCCAAUCACACCAUUUGAAGGUGGUAUGGCACGGUGAUCAAGAGCAGGAAUUUGGGAGUCAGCUAGACUGGCUUCAAAUCCUGGUUCUGCCACUAAAUGUUGGAAUGUGGGCCAGUUAUUGAAACUCUCUGUGGCUCAGUUUAGUAUUUGUAAACCAGGAAUGAUAGUGAUUGUGCCGUUUCAUGGAAUUAAUACAAGAACGCCAUGAGUUGAUGCUUGGACAGCACUUAGAGCAGUGCCUGCCUGUGGAACUGAGACUCCUCGUCCAGUUCAGGCCAGUUGAGACCACCAAUCCAUCAACUGGACCUGCACAAAUGCUUGAUAAGUGACCUUUUUGACGUCAAGGAGCUAAAAAC